rnacentral:misc_RNA from 1 species
UCCCGUUUAUCACGGGCAGUUCCCUUAGAGUGCCCGGCAUUACCCGCUGGCAACUAAGGGCGAGGGUUGCGCUCGUUGCGGGACUUAACCCAACAUCUCACGACACGAGCUGACGACAGCCAUGCAGCACCUGUCUCCGGUCCAGCCGAACUGAAGAGCUCCAUCUCUGGUGCUCGCGACCGGGAUGUCAAAGGCUGGUAAGGUUCUGCGCGUUGCUUCGAAUUGAACCACAUGCUCCACCGCUUGUGCAGGCCCCCGUCAAUUCCUUUGAGUUUCGGUCUUGCGACCGUACUCCCCAGGCGGAAUGCUUAAAGCGUUAGCUGCGCCACUAGUGAGUAAACCCACUAACGGCUGGCAUUCAUCGUUUACGGCGUGGACUAC